rnacentral:rRNA from 1 species
CUCCUACGGGAGGCAGCAGUGGGGAAUAUUGGACAAUGGGCGAAAGCCUGAUCCAGCCAUGCCGCGUGUGUGAAGAAGGUCUUCGGAUUGUAAAGCACUUUAAGUUGGGAGGAAGGGCAUUAACCUAAUACGUUAGUGUGUUGACGGUACCGGCGGAAUAAGCACCGGCUAACUUCGUGCCAGCAGCCGCGGUAAUACGAAGGGUGCAAGCGUUAAUCGGAAUUACUGGGCGUAAGCGCGCGUAGGUGGUUCGGUAAGUUGGAUGUGAAAGGCCCGGGCUCAACCUGGGAACUGGAUCCAAAACUGGCGAGCUAGAGUACGGNAGAGGGUGGUGGAAUUUCCUGUGUAGCGGNGAAAUGCGUAGAUAUAGG